rnacentral:lncRNA from 1 species
UAAUACAUAUGAAGAGGAAGAAAAACUAAAAAGUGUUAAGAGUAGAAGAUAUAUCAGCUGAGGAGCAACACAAUCAUGAAUCCAUGUAAAACUAUGCGGGCUAGGAGCUUAGAGUAGUAGCAAUUGAGAAUGAAAAAGCCAUGGCAGAACAAUAUUACAGGGUAUGAGCCAGGCACCGCUGGUGUAAAAAUAAGCAAUGGUUUUGGAGGUGAUGAGGAAGCAGUGGAGGUUUCAACAUUGAAUUGCUUCCAAUGAAUAUCUCCCUUUUGAAAAACAUCUGUGGUGGCCAAUACUGGUUGAGCCCUCUGCGCCAUUAUCACUUUCCUUACACCAAAGACUUUGCUUCUAAGAAUACCCAAAUUGAGUUCUAUGGAUGUACCUCAUAUAGAUAUCUUUUCAUGAGAAACAAGUACUGUUGCGUCAGAAUGUCACUGUCUCAUUUUUUUCUUAAAUAGUAAUUGUAUUUAUACAAUUAGAUGUACGUCUUUUUUAAUAAAGAAAAACAUAAGUUAAGAUUUUUUUAUUUAUAAUAAAUUAAGAUUAUUAGUGUAAUGAAAAAAGAUGAUAAAAAACAAUAAAUUAUUUUUUCUGAUGGAAAAACUAAUAUAUACUAACAGUCUAAAAAAAUUAUAUUAUCAAUGAAUCAUAAAUUAUUAUUAUAUAUAUAUAAUAUGAUAAUUUUAUUAAAUUUUACACUAAUUAACAUAAAAGUUUUCUUUAACAUGAUUUAUGAUCGAUUAGUAUACUCUAUAAUCUAUAUAAAACUAUUUUUGGUUCGUUACAUCUAUGUACAGGAACUUUGCAUUACACACGCAAUUAAUUUGUUUUAGAUUUAGGAUGUCUACUCAUGGAAUAAAUGAUAAAUAUCUAACUUUUAUGUAUUCGUAAUCUCCAUAUAUAUGUCUCUUUUUUAUUUUAGUUUCUAUGUCUCUCUUUUUUUAAGUUUUUAUUUUGUUUUGUUUUUAUUCAUGUAAUAUAAUGUUUUACUUAUUGAUUUUGAUCCUUUCAUUUACAAACUAUUUAUGUGAAUUUACUAGAUAUUAAUACGCUUCAAAUUACUAAUUAAUUAAUGUACCCCUUAUUAGAGAGUAAAAAGAUUUGUCCUCGGGACAAAUUAUUCAAAUGACCAUAUGUACAAUCUUAAUCAAUUUAUUGGUGUAGUGGUUAUAUAUACAGCUGCUAUUGGUUAUGGUAUGCAAAAUUAAAGAGCAUAAAGUAAAAAGUACUGUUACCUCAAAAAAAGAAAAGUAAAAUAUACCGGUAACUUGUGUUCCACUUCCAACAUUUAUAAACAUUUAUAAACUUCCUAGAAUAUUAAAUAUACAUGACAGAACAACUCAGCAACACAAGAGGCGUAUCUUGUUAUAGUAACUUCUCCUACAACGUAACGUAAAGAAUAUAAUCUUUAAUUGAUUUUUCAAAAUUUAUUUGAGCGGUUUUAAUUUACUUUCAAUUCGGUAGAUAAAAUUCUCUCCUGGUCUCCCCACCUGAUUCCAUGAACACAAGCUAAUGAGAACGAUUUUUUUAUGAGUCAUGGGGGAGCACAUGGCAGCAGUGCACACUGCUACCAACGUUGUACAAGCAUUAAUUAGGUAGAGGCUUUGAUGUGAACUUCAAUACAAGGUUGAUGCAUUGUAAACGAGUAGCAGCAGGGUCUAGUGGUGGUCCUUGUUGAUGAAGAACACGUAUGAGGGACUUGUUGUAAAAAUGGUGUUAUUUAAAAGGGUGAAAAAAUAGAAAUAUAUAUUGAAAAAUACAUUUAACAAUAAGAAACAACAUUUAGUAAUUGUCUAGAAAUAUUUAAGCCAUAUUUACCAACUCAAAUGAAGAAGAAAAAAAAAGGAAAAUUUUUAAGUUGCAGGAGGAGGGCAUGGAUCAACCUGUAUUAGUGAGGAGGUGCCUCUGAUAUUUCUGUUUUACCCAAAUUUAGUACAUUUAUUCAAUAAAAUUAUUUUUCUGUUACAAGAAAAAAAGAAAAAGAAAAGAUCGGGUAAAUUAAAUAAUUCAUUAAUUGAACGUAUAAAAAAUUAUACGUUUAUUUUAAAUGAUUUAUAAUAUAUUUUAUUAAUGAAAUUAAUCACUUUAAUUAUUUUUUUUGUUAUACAAAUAUUAAUUAAUCUCAUAAAUGACAUUGAGUUGAAAUACUAGUUCAUGAAAACUAGUUUUUAAGAUCCACCUUUAUCUUCUAUACCUGAUAAUAAGAUGAGUUAAAAGGAGUUUGACUUGUCUCUAACAUCAUCAAGAGUGAAGUAGUGAAAAAGAUAAGUUAAAAAAUUUAAAUCCAAUUAUAUUCUAUUAAGUUUUGUAAGGUUUAUGAAAUUUAUGAGAUUCCCCCUCACUUUGUGUUAAAGAAAAUUUUAAUUUACUUAAUUAUAUAUUUUUAAAUAAAUUAUUUAUUAAAUUAUUAAUUUUUAUUGCAAAUAAAAAAAUAAAAAAUAUUUUAAAAAAUAAAAUUAAGAACUAAAUUAAAUUUUUAGUUAUGUUACCCUAGCAUUCAUGACUCCAAAAGACAUCAUCUUGUGUAUCAAUACAUCCCUUUGUCCAUCAUGAAGGCAAAUCGACCUUCUUGUUAGCAUAUAUACAUCGAUAUCUAAUUAUUGAUUUAAGUCUGAUAACAUCACUGCGAUGAGUUAUUCUCCUAACUAGUCUUGGUUCAACAAUUUUAACUCCCUAAUUAGGUCUAACUCAUUAAUCAAUUGGGUUCACCUGAUCCGAGGGAAGCCAAAGGAAACAUGAGCAGGACAAUUAAUUCCCAGUGACUUGAACGUGUAAUCCUUUGUUAAUUUCAACUAUAAUAAUAAUAAAAAAUAAAAAAAAGCAUUGUCCCAUGUAAAAACCCAAUUGAAAAGUGCAAUGUGAAUCACAUCAUUAUAUAGACAAAUUUGAAAGACAUUAUAGGCCUUUCAUAGAAAUAGAAUAAAAACUGCAUAAAUGAAUGUUUGUGUGAUGACUUCAUGUUGGUAAGUAUCGCACAUCAUCAAGUUUGGCGGGAGCUAGAUUAGGACUCGCUAAAAUAGCAUCAAAAUCCUUCCACUGCUCAUUCAACUGUGCUCUCAAGAAGGCCACAACCAACCCUCCCACAGUCCUUCUCAUCAAGUCCCUAGGACCCUUCUUCCCAUUCUUGCACAUACACUUUGACAUCAUUGUCCCAAUUACCCCUGGUGUUUCAUCAUCCAACAUGUCCAUGUGACCAUAAUCCGUUGCAACAAAAUAUGCACUAGGUGGUUUGCACUCAGAGAAAAACUCUUUAUGGUUCACCCCAUUUGGAGCACAUGGUGGAAAAAGAGAAUUAGCCUUCUCUGGGCCCAACCCAGUUCCAAUUACAGCAACAGGUAUGUUCAGAUUAAAGGACCGUGGCACACCUGUGAGGAUAUCAGGAAGUGAUCGACAAGGCUUACACUUUGAUACGCCAGCCACAGGAUCUAUGCCUAUGAGUGCUGAAAACUUGAGCUUUGUUUUACAGUAACCAAGUGCCACAGCAAAUGCUGUUUUUCCACCCUUGCUGUGACCUACUAGAACCAGUUUCUCCAGUUUGGCUUCAACGCUCUCGGGAAGCAAUGGUUGAAGCCCGUUAUCUAGCCAAUCCACAACUCUUCCUUCACACUUAACUUCUUCUGGUCCAAACAUAGGCACCCCAAUGGAAAACUAAACAUCGGAGAGGCAAAAGUUAGCAAUGUCAGAGAAUCCAAAAAGAAUUAAAAAUGAGUUAAAUAUAUUUUCCAUGUAUCGUUCUGUUUUAAUAAUUAUUAAUUAAUUGUUAUACGAAUUCUAUCAAUAUCUUAACUUUAUUUUAUUGUAUAUAGAAAAAUUAAAAAAUAGGUUUUUUUUUCUUGAUUUGUUCCACAGCGAUCAAAUUCUUCCAAUUUUUUAUUUAUAAAAAAGAUAUUAUCAAUUACGUAAAAAAUUGAAAACAAAUUGAGAAAAGUUGACUAUCGGAUUCAGAUGAUUUAACUAAUUUGUAUAAGCAGGUCAUAGUUACUAAUCUAUUAACUAAUUUGUAUAAUAUAUACACUAUUGAUAAAAAAAAAAAACAUGCAUUAACCAACAUAAAUAUAAUAUAAAAAUAUUGGUAUGCGUGCAAAUAGCAUUUCUUAUUCUAAAAUAACCCAGGAAGUUAAAAAAAUACAGAAAGACAAGAAUUAAUAGAGAACUGUUUCUCAUAUAGCAUGUUUUUUUCUUAUCAUUCCUCACUCGUUGUUUGAAAUUAAAUAAAAUAAUAAAGAUAGUACCCUGAAAAUUUUAAUUUUAUGGUUUUAAAUUAUUAAACAAAGUUGUAUAUAAAACUAAUGGUGCGCAAAUUGAAGAAGAAGAAAAAUUCGAAAGUGUUAAGAGUACUAGAUAUACCAGCUGAGGAGCAACAAGUAUGAAUCCAUGUGAAACUAUGUGGGCUAGGAGCUUAGAGUAGUAGCUAGUGCGAAUACAAAAGCCAUGGCAAAACAAUAUUACAGGGUAUAAGCCAGGCACGGUUGGUGUAAAAAUAAGCAAUGGUUUUGGAGGUGAGGAAGAAGCAGUGGAUGUUUCAACAUUGAAUUGCUUCCAAUGAAUAUCUCCCUUCUGAAAAACAUCCGUGGUGGCCAACGCUGGUUGAGCUCUCUGCGCCAUUAUCUCUCUUCUCACACCAAACACUUUGCUUCUAUGUUCUAAGUGUAAAAUUUAUUCUAUGCUUCUAUCUCAGACAGAUAUUUCUUCACGGGAAAAACUGUUGUGUCA